GACGAACGCUGGCGGCGUGCUUAGCACAUGCAAGUCGAACGGAAAGGCCCUGCUUUUGUGGGGUGCUCGAGUGGCGAACGGGUGAGUAACACGUGAGUAACCUGCCCUUGACUUUGGGAUAACUUCAGGAAACUGGGGCUAAUACCGGAUAGGAGCUCCUGCUGCAUGGUGGGGGUUGGAAAGUUUCGGCGGUUGGGGAUGGACUCGCGGCUUAUCAGCUUGUUGGUGGGGUAGUGGCUUACCAAGGCUUUGACGGGUAGCCGGCCUGAGAGGGUGACCGGCCACAUUGGGACUGAGAUACGGCCCAGACUCCUACGGGAGGCAGCAGUGGGGAAUAUUGCACAAUGGGCGGAAGCCUGAUGCAGCAACGCCGCGUGCGGGAUGACGGCCUUCGGGUUGUAAACCGCUUUCGCCUGUGACGAAGCGUGAGUGACGGUAAUGGGGAAAGAAGCACCGGCUAACUACGG
rnacentral:rRNA from 1 species